rnacentral:rRNA from 1 species
GUGCCAGACUCCUACGGGAGGCAGCAGUGGGGAAUAUUGCACAAUGGGGGAAACCCUGAUGCAGCGACGCCGCGUGAGUGAAGAAGUAUUUCGGUCUGUAAAGCUCUAUCAGCAGGGAAGAUAAUGACGGUACCUGACUAAGAAGCCCCGGCUAACUACGUGCCAGCAGCCGCGGUAAUACGUAGGGGGCAAGCGUUAUCCGGAUUUACUGGGUGUAAAGGGAGCGUAGGUGGCAGGGCAAGUCUGGAGUGAAAGGCGGGGGCUCAACCCCCGGACUGCUCUGGAAACUGUACGGCUGGAGUGCAGGAGAGGUAAGUGGAAUUCCUAGUGUAGCGGUGAAAUGCGUAGAUAUUAGGAGGAACACCAGUGGCGAAGGCGGCUUACUGGACUGUAACUGACGUUGAGGCUCGAAAGCGUGGGGAGCAAACAGGAUUAGAUACCCUUGUAUG